AUCCAGCUGACGAGUCCCAAAUAGGACUAAACGCGCGUCGAACUGGAU
rnacentral:hammerhead_ribozyme from 1 species